rnacentral:rRNA from 1 species
AACGAACGCUGGCGGCAGGCUUAACACAUGCAAGUCGAGCGCCCCGCAAGGGGAGCGGCAGACGGGUGAGUAACGCGUGGGAACGUACCCUAUGCUACGGAAUAGCUCCGGGAAACUGGAAUUAAUACCGUAUGUGCCCUACGGGGGAAAGAUUUAUCGGCAAAGGAUCGGCCCGCGUUGGAUUAGCUAGUUGGUGGGGUAAUGGCUUACCAAGGCGACGAUCCAUAGCUGGUCGGAGAGGAUGAUCAGCCACAUUGGGACUGAGACACGGCCCAAACUCCUACGGGAGGCAGCAGUGGGGAAUAUUGGACAAUGGGCGCAAGCCUGAUCCAGCCAUGCCGCGUGAGUGAUGAAGGCCUUAGGGUUGUAAAGCUCUUUCACCGGAGAAGAUAAUGACGGUAUCCGGAGAAGAAGCCCCGGCUAACUUCGUGCCAGCAGCCGCCGUAAGAC